AUCUAUUCUUGUAGAUUUUUUUUGUGUGGGUCUAUGUUUCAUUCAUCUGCUUUCAGGCUGGAUUUAUAACAAGCAGAACUUUUAAAACGGUAUGAUUUUAAAAUAAAAUUAAAAAAAAAACACGCUGAGAUCUUUCCAUAGCUUUGGCUUCUGGGAGUUGAAAGCGCAGCUUCAGGAAAAAGAGGACCUUAGAACUGAAGGAGCAAGAUUCCAACAUCACACUGUUUUUGUUAGCUGUGUGUGUGUGUUUCCUGUGUAUCCAAAAGACAGAGGAGAUGAAAAAGCAAAAGAAAAGAAACGAGGAAUCAGAUUGGAAAGAAGGUUUCUCCAGGACGUCACCUGUAUGAGGUACACAGUGUGAUGACACACUCUGUGCUUUUCCUACUUGUGUCCACGUGAGUGUCUGGAGCUGCCCUUCAAGGAGAGCAAUAGAUGAAUGAUUCUGCCUUCCCGCUGAGAGGGAUGUGGGUCCUGCGGAUGGUCGGGGUGAAGCUUCCUCUCCUUUCUGCUGACAGCACUUCCUCAUUAAAUGCAGAGAUCUGCAAAAAGGGAAAAUAAAAACACAAGAAGAAAAAUGAGGCAUCAAAGACCCUCCUCUUAUGCCCAUGGGGAUUUGGAGGACGGGUUAUUUCUUUGCUUUCCCAAAGGGCCCAAGAAGAGCUUCCGGGGAGAGGGAGAGCACCCUUUUUGAGGAUUCCCGACAAGCCUGUCUCCCGAGGGCUCCUGUAGGAGAGGCGGUAACUAGGGCGCAGAUCAUUUUCUGUGUUAAGGGCAUCCAAGGAGAGAAGAGAGUGACCGCCUAUGACUUGGGAGGCCCGUAAAGAUGGGGUCCUGGAUGAGCAGUAGCAAGGAGGGUACGGGGAUGGGUGUGCCUUGGGGGCUGGCAGUGAGGACGGCAUCGUCCCUAGAGAGUUUAAAGACAAGAAUCAAUCCAGCUCCAAGUGAGACUGCUUUUAAACCAUUUUAAUUGCCACACACCAGUAAGUUCAAGCAAUAUCAGUGAUAAAAUCUCCUUCCGUUGGGCAGC
rnacentral:lncRNA from 1 species